AGAGGCAACUCUGGAGAAAGCCGCCGCGCUUACCGAAGGUGUAUGGCCCCUCGCCGGGCCGGAACUCUCAGGUGCAAGGACAGAGACGGGGAG
rnacentral:ncRNA from 2 species